rnacentral:rRNA from 1 species
AGUGAACGCUGGCGGUAGGCCUAACACAUGCAAGUCGAACGGCAGCACAGUAAGAGCUUGCUCUUACGGGUGGCGAGUGGCGGACGGGUGAGGAAUACAUCGGAAUCUACUUUUUCGUGGGGGAUAACGUAGGGAAACUUAUGCUAAUACCGCAUACGACCUACGGGUGAAAGCAGGGGAUCUUCGGACCUUGCGCGAUUGAAUGAGCCGAUGUCGGAUUAGCUAGUUGGCGGGGUAAAGGCCCACCAAGGCGACGAUCCGUAGCUGGUCUGAGAGGAUGAUCAGCCACACUGGAACUGAGACACGGUCCAGACUCCUACGGGAGGCAGCAGUGGGGAAUAUUGAACAAUGGGCGCAAGCCUGAUCCAGCCAUACCGCGUGGGUGAAGAAGGCCUUCGGGUUGUAAAGCCCUUUUGUUGGGAAAGAAAAGCAGCAGGUUAAUACCCCGCUGUUCUGACGGUACCCAAAGAAUAAGCACCGGCUAACUUCGUG